AUGGUACAGAAACUCAGAAGAGAGUCCUCCAGCUGAAGGACAUGUCUGGUAGAAGUAUUGAAGUAACUUUGUGGGGAAAUUUUUGCAAUGCAGAAGGUCAAACACUUCAGAGUUUGUGUGAUUCUGGGUCUUUCCCUGUCUUGGCAGUUAAAGCUGGUAGAGUAAAUGAUUUUAAUGGAAAAUCUAUAGGUACUAUAUCUACAAGCAAAUUGUUUAUAGAACCAGAUUUUCCUGAAGCUCUGAAAACAAAGGCAUGGUUUGAAAGGGAGGGAAAGAACAUGCCAUCUAUGUCAUUGUCACGAGAAGUGAGCAGUGUUGGUCGGACAGAUGUGCGGAAGACAAUAUCUCAAAUCAAAGAUGAGAAGUUGGGCACUUCUGAGAAACCAGAUUGGAUCACUAUAAGUGCCACUGUUACAUUUAUAAAAGUUGACAAUUUUUGCUAUACUGCAUGUCCCCUCAUGAUAGGAGAUAGACAGUGCAACAAAAAAGUGACAAAUAAUGGGGAUGGGAAAUGGCGGUGUGACAGGUGUGAUCAGACUGUUGAUGAAUGUGAAUACAGGUACAUACUUCAGUUCCAGAUUCAGGACCAUACUGGCUUAACAUGGGUUACUGCAUUUCAAGAAUGUGGUGACCAGAUAAUGGGUGCAUCUGCAAAAGAAUUGUAUUUCUUAAAAUAUGAGGAGCAGGAUGAUGAUAGGUUUGCAGAAAUCAUGCGUAAUGUGUUAUUCAACCAGUUUAUAUUUAAAUUGAAAGUGAAAGAAGAGAUGUAUAGUGAUGAGCAGCGUGUUAAGUCAACAGUGGUCAAAGCUGAGAUGCUUAACUUCCAACAAGAGACCAGGUUUCUGUUCGACCUGAUAAACAAGAUUAAUGGGCAGGAAUCCAGCACUUUAACUCCUAAGACAGGUGAUGCAACUCCAAAUUCAGGGUUUAAUAAUGCUGGAUUUGGGAAUAAACUGAAAGAACCAAUGAACCCUGUUGCAAGUUAUGGUGGCAGCCAUAUCAGCAGAGAUAGUGGACUGCAGGGAAAUCGGCAA
rnacentral:misc_RNA from 1 species